CCUACGGGUGGCAGCAGUGGGGAAUAUUGGGCAAUGGGCGCAAGCCUGACCCAGCAACGCCGCGUGAAGGAAGAAGGCUUUCGGGUUGUAAACUUCUUUUCUCAGGGACGAAGCAAGUGACGGUACCUGAGGAAUAAGCCACGGCUAACUACGUGCCAGCAGCCGCGGCAAUACGUAGGUGGCAAGCGUUAUCCGGAUUUACUGGGUGUAAAGGGCGUGUAGGCGGGGACGCAAGUCAGAUGUGAAAACCACGGGCUCAACCUGUGGCGUGCAUUUGAAACUGUGUUUCUUGAGUGCUGGAGAGGCAGACGGAAUUCCUGGUGUAGCGGUGAAAUGCGUAGAUAUUAGGAGGAACACCAGUGGCGAAGGCAGUCUGCUGGACAGCAACUGACGCUGAGGCGCGAAAGCGUGGGGAGCAAACAGGAUUAGAUACCCCUGUAGUC
rnacentral:rRNA from 1 species